rnacentral:rRNA from 1 species
UGUAAGCGUAUACCAAAGUUGUUGCAGUUAAAACGCUCGUAGUCGAAUUUUGGUGUGAGUUAUGGAGACUCCUACUGGAUGUUGAAGUAACCUCGCCUUUGUGGAGGGGGGUGUGGUGGUACUUUAUUGUAUUGCUGCAUUUCCGCCACUGUUUACUGUGAAAAAAUUAGAGUGUUCAAAGCGAGCGUUUGCCAUGAAUACAUUAGCAUGGAAUAAUAGAAUAGGACCUGGUUCUGUUUUAUUGGUUUGUCUGUAUCAGGUAAUGAUUAACAGGGACGGUCGGGGGUAUUUGUAUUCCAGCGUUAGAGGUGAAAUUCUUGGAUCGCUGGAAGACAGACAGCUGCGAAAGCGUCUACCAAGGACGUUUUCAUUGA